rnacentral:lncRNA from 1 species
GGAAGCGGCGCAGGUCCUAAUCCAGGCACUUGUCAUCUCCCGUCUGGAUUACUGAAACUCGCUGUUGGCUGGGCUCCCUGGAUGUGCCAUUAAACCCCUACAACUCAUCCAGAACGCCGCAGCCCGUCUGGUGUUCAACCUUCCCAAGUUCUCUCACGUCACCCCGUUCCUCCGCACACUCCACUGGCUUCCAGUUGAAGCUCGCAUCUGCUACAAGACCAUGGUGCUUGCCUACGGAGCUGUGAGGGGAACGGCACCUCCGUACCUUCAGGCUCUGAUCAGUCCCUACACCCAAAGAAGGGUACUGCGUUCAUCCACCUCUGGCCUGCUCGCCUCCCUACCUCUGCGGAAGCACAGUUCCCGCUCUGCCCAGUCAAAACUGUUCGCUGCUCUGGCACCCCAAUUGUGGAACAAGCUCCCUCACGAUGCCAGGACAGCGGUGUCAAUCACCACCUUCCGGAGACACGCGAAACCCCACCUCUUUAACCUCUAGGGGCUAGGGGGCAGUAUUUUCACGGCCGGAUGAAAAACGUACCCAAUUUAAACAGGUUACUACUCUGGCCCAGAAAACAGAAUAUGCAUAUUAUUAGUAGAUUUGAAUAGAAAACACUCUGAAGUUUCUAAAACUGUUUGAAUGGUGUCUGUGAGUAUAACAGAACUCAUAUGGCAGGCAAAAAACCUGAGAAAAAUUGAAUCAGUGAAUCCCUUGGAAAACUACAGUGACGUAGGAUUUACGUUACACCUCCUAACUCUUCCAUUGGCUGUCAACAAUCUUUAUGAACAGGUUUCAACCGUCAUCUGUUACCGGGCAGAUCGUUUUGGAUCAGUCAAUCAUUGGCCAGUCUGAGGAGAGGUGUCUUAUGAUGCCCGUACACGUGACGUUAUCGGUUUUAUAUUUUUCUUCUGGGAUGAAUAGCUAUUGCCCGGUUGUAAAAUGAUCGCAAUUUUACGUUAAAAAAAUACCCUAAAGGAUUGAUUGUAAACAUCGUUUGACGUGUUUCUACAAACAGUAAUGGAACUUUGAACAUUUCGUCUAUGGAUUUGCGUCCACGCCACAUAGCAAUGUAAAGUGUUCUGGAUGGGUCAACAAAAUGGACGUAUUUGGACAUAAAUGAUAGACUUUGCAGAACAAAUGAACAUUUCUUGUGGAAUUGGGUGCCCAUCCGAGUGCAUUCUGCCGAAGAUCAAAGAUAAUGAGACCAGGAUGCAACGUGAAGAAAAUAUGCUAGGUUCAAGGCUUCCUUCACCACCUGGGCAGAGAGAGAGAGGGAGAAGAGGGAGGGGUUGCUGAAAGAUGAGGCGAAAAGGUGGAAGAUGGAGUAUUUCAAUAAGCAGUGGAGAGAGCAGUCCCUGCUUACAAAAUAGACUCAACAGACGAUUGAAGAGGACAGGGAGAGGAGGAAGGAACAGUACCUAAAAGAACAGGAGGAGAAAUGACUGGAGAUGAAUCUGGAGGCUGAUUACAUUAGAUUAGAAGUUCAAUUGUCACAUGUACAGGGUUGACGGGCAAAUCAAGAAGUUCAGCACCCAGUUCAUCAACCAGUUUCCAUCUGACUACAACCACGGUCAACAGUUGCUGGGGUGGGCCACGGGCCAGAAGGUAAACCAAGGCCUCGCUGGGUUGUACAUGACCAGCCGAGGGAGCCAGAGAGCCAGCAGAGGGGACCAGAGAGCCAGCAGGGGGAGCCAGAGAGCCAGCAGGGGUGAGCCAGAGAGCCAGCAGGGG